AGGUGUCCUCCAGAGUCUUGCAACUGUACAUAAACCUUCUAUUUGGCCACCACUAACCAAUGCUCACAAGCAGAAACGGCUGCAUUGGGCAGAAAAAUACAUGAAGACUAAUUUUCAAACAGCCCUGUUCACUGAUGAGUGCUGUGCAGCCCUGGAUGGUCCAGAUGGAUGGAGUAGUGGCUGGUUGGUGGACGGCCACCCUGUUCCAACAAGGCUGCGACGUCAGCAAGGCGGUGGUGGAGUCAUGUUUUGGGCCGGAAUCAUGGGAAGAGAGCUGGUUGGCCCCUUUAGGGUCCCCGAAGGUGUAAAGAUGACCUCUGCAAAGUAUGUGGAGUUUCUGACUGACCACUUUCUUCCCUGGUACAGAAGGAAGAACUAUGCUUUCCGUAAUAAAAUCAUCUUCAUGCAUGACAAUGCACCAUCUCAUGCUGCAAAGAAUACCUCUGCAUCAAUGGCUGCUAUGGGGAUAAAAAGAG